rnacentral:lncRNA from 1 species
GAAUUAUUUCGAUUCUAAUAGGACAAAUACAGUCAUUAAAAAACUGAAGCGAAGGUGGGUAUGCAGUGUGUGUGGCUGUUCUUUUUUACUCCCUGUUAGAUAAAGCUCAAAUAUCUUUAUAAAUAUGUAGCUUGCGUAGGUUAUUUCGUGAAUAACUGCUAGAAAAAAACUUUUUAAUUCUUUAAAUUCUCAAACCCAACAUUUGCCAUUUUUAAUUUACAGGUUUUGUUCGUAAGCUUCCGUCAAAUCCAAAGUUGACAUUUUUUAACUAAGGAGCCGCC